GCAGUCGACGGUAGCACAGAGAGCUUGCUCUCGGGUGACGAGUGGCGGACGGGUGAGUAAUGUCUGGGAAACUGCCUGAUGGAGGGGGAUAACUACUGGAAACGGUAGCUAAUACCGCAUAACGUCGCAAGACCAAAGAGGGGGACCUUCGGGCCUCUUGCCAUCAGAUGUGCCCAGAUGGGAUUAGCUAGUAGGUGGGGUAACGGCUCACCUAGGCGACGAUCCCUAGCUGGUCUGAGAGGAUGACCAGCCACACUGGAACUGAGACACGGUCCAGACUCCUACGGGAGGCAGCAGUGGGGAAUAUUGCACAAUGGGCGCAAGCCUGAUGCAGCCAUGCCGCGUGUAUGAAGAAGGCCUUCGGGUUGUAAAGUACUUUCAGCGGGGAGGAAGGUGUUGUGGUUAAUAACCGCAGCAAUUGACGUUACCCGCAGAAGAAGCACCGGCUAACUCCGUGCCAGCAGCCGCGGUAAUACGGAGGGUCCGAGCGUUAAUCGGAAUUACUGGGCGUAAAGCGUGCGCAGGCGGUUUGUUAAGCGAGAUGUGAAAGCCCUGGGCUCAACCUAGGAAUAGCAUUUCGAACUGGCGAACUAGAGUCUUGUAGAGGGGGGUAGAAUUCCAGGUGUAGCGGUGAAAUGCGUAGAGAUCUGGAGGAAUACCGGUGGCGAAGGCGGCCCCCUGGACAAAGACUGACGCUCAUGCACGAAAGCGUGGGGAGCAACAGGAUUAGAUGCCCUGGUAGUCCACGCCGUAAACGAUGUCUACUCGGAGUUUGGUGUCUU
rnacentral:rRNA from 1 species